UUCAUGUUUGUAGUGUUUGAUGCAAAUGGCUUUCUGAUACAUGCAUUUGUCCAGUGCUUUCUGAAGACCAACCAUCCAGUGAAGAACUGAGGAUAUAAGAGUCUGUUUCCUAUUUAAAGAAUAUUGUCAGAAUCAGUUUCUUUGCUACUCUUUUCCAGAGAGAGGGACUAAUGAUGUUCCAUCAGUGGUUUCAGAAAUAGGCAACCAGAAUGCACAUCUAUAGUGAAGUGAAAACAAAUUUCUAAGGACUGUUUUAAAGUACUGACAGGGCCAGUGUUUCUUAAUAGCCAUCAGCCUCUGAUGCAUAAUAAGCAAAUUCCAAGCAAAAUAAUAAUAUUUGAAUUGCCUGUCCUGCACUUACAGGAAGGGGUAACAUUAAUGUUGAUAUUUAAAUAUCUACAUUUUCACCAUAUUUCCUUUGCGUAGACUUAUUUUGUGAGUCCUAAAAUCAGAGCUGUCUGGGAUAAGUUUAGGUAUCAGAUUUGGCUGAUGAAAUGUUUUGUCAUUCUUCAUGCCAACUUUCCCAACUCCUAUUUUUUUUUUUGCUAUUAAAUACUUUUUUUUUUUUUAAUACAGAUUAUUUAUCAUCCUUCCCCUAGGAAGUUCGUAUAAUGUGUUUUGACUUCUGUUGUUAAGAGGUCAGGCAGCCCAGCCCUAACACUGAAAACUGAAACACCGGACUUACUGGGGUAAAUGUCACAGGAAAACCAAGCCAAAACUGAGUGACAGCUGGGUUACUUGAAGGUUAUUAAGUGGCAACUUAUUGAGGCUUUUGGAAGCCCAUCAUGUCUUAGAGAGAAAGGACAUGGGAGAGGGAUUUCCAAAGUAAAUUCUGUCUUCAGUUUUGUUUUCAUCCUCCUGCUGGUGCAGAACUUAUUACACAUCUUCUUAACUGAUAUAGUUGAAUAGAAAUGUGAGCAGGAAGUGCGCCUUGGAAACUGCUUGGAAAUGAUUUCCUUCCAGGGGAAUGGUCUCAUGUGGCAGCUGCAGCCUUCGGACCAGAGGGUGCCAGCACCCAGAGUGUGGUGGGUUCAGCACCAGGGCCAGUUCCGGCACAGCCAGCGGGACGCGGCAAGACUGGGAAAAUAAAAUGACUUCCAAGGAGCUCUGUCUGAGAGAGCAGAUGCACCCUAUGAAGACAGACCUAAAUCCAUCCAAGGUGUUGUGAAGAAGCAGGAAAAUUACACACGAAAGAAAGUUUUCAAGUUUUAAAUAGCUUUUUUUCUAGUUGUAAAACAGCUCAAUGUUUGUAUCUGUUAAAUCUUUUAAAUUAUUAAAUAGUCCUGAAGGCACCUGGAAAUUAAAGGAUAAUUGGAAGAAAUAACAAUGUGAUGAGGAAAUUGGGGAUGCAGAGUGUUAAACUGUCCUUCAAAGUGUCAGCGAUUAAAAUUAAUUAAGAUUCAUGACUAGCAUUGUGAGACUCUGUGGUAGAAGGGUAAUGCCAUAGGGAAAUAUGAAGAGUUAUUUGAAUUAUUUUUCUCAAUGGCUGUUUGACUAUUACCAGAGAAACUUGGAAAAGUUUUUGAUGAGUUGUUUUGCUUUUGAAUCAAAG
ensembl:lncRNA